rnacentral:rRNA from 1 species
UGAUUAGCUAGUUGGUGGGGUAAGAGCCUACCAAGGCGACGAUCAGUAGCUGGUCUGAGAGGACGACCAGCCACACUGGAACUGAGACACGGUCCAGACUCCUACGGGAGGCAGCAGUGGGGAAUUUUGGACAAUGGGGGCAACCCUGAUCCAGCCAUUCCGCGUGAGUGAAGAAGGCCUUCGGGUUGUAAAGCUCUUUCGCAAGGGAAGAAAACUCGAUCUCUAAUAUAGGUUGAGGCUGACGGUACCUUGAUAAGAAGCACCGGCUAACUACGUGCCAGCAGCCGCGGUAAUACGUAGGGUGCGAGCGUUAAUCGGAAUUACUGGGCGUAAAGCGUGCGCAGGCGGUUUUGAAAGUCAGAUGUGAAAUCCCCGGGCUCAACCUGGGAACUGCGUUUGAAACUCCAAAGCUAGAGUAUGGGAGAGGGAGGUAGAAUUCCACGUGUAGCAGUGAAAUGCGUAGAGAUGUGGAGGAAUACCAAUGGCGAAGGCAGCCUCCUGGCCUAAUAC